rnacentral:lncRNA from 1 species
UAUUACAAGAACGAUUCUUUAUUGAUAUUUCAUAACCGUUUUGGGCUAAAAGUCCUACAGAACUGACGUUCAUUAAGAACGACGGACAAAAGUGACAGUCACUUAAGGCGAUUACAUGAUAAUUGAAAACUAACUUAAGAUCUCCCAAUGCUAGAACUGGAACAGUCCUUCCAUCUCCAACAUUUAGGAACCUCUCAUUAUCCUCAAAUCUCUUAUUGACAUGUAGUCCCUAUAAUGAAUUGCAAAUAUUAUAAGGACUUCUGGUAUCCAAUACCCAGGUCAAUUUAUCACAUAUGGAGAAAUUACGAGGAGUUAUCAUAUAAGUACCUUGCCCAGCAACUGUUUGCUCAUUUCUCCUGGGCCUAUUUGGAUCAAGGGUGGCUACAUACAGAGGAUAGUUCCUUUUCUAGUGUCCCGAUUUCUGACAGUGGUAGCACACCGC